rnacentral:lncRNA from 1 species
UCUUAGACAAGGAAUGUCAGUGAGCCCUUAGGCGGUGUUGUUGGGCGAUAGGGCCAGACUUGAGCAUAUGGGAGAAAGAGGAGAAGAAAUACAGAGAAAUGAAGCGUGUUCAAGUUUGGGACGGAGGAAACCAAGCUGAGAUUAAAUGCAUUUUGAAAUAAAUCCUAAGCUCCUACUCGUUCUUUGAACAAAGCUGAUAGAGCGAGCACCAGCAGCCAUGAGGAUCAUAGAAUCACCAAGGUUGGAAAAGACCUAAAAGAUCAUCCAGUCCAAGAGGAUGCCUCUGAGAACUUCAGGUUGCAGAAUCUCCAAAGAGCUCUGUGGUUUUUUAUUAACCGUGUAAGAGAACUGAAAGGUGAAAUUAUGGGUCUGACCUUAAACCAACCCAGCAACCCAAUGAAAAGAUACUUUAUGUGCCAUCAACACAGAUUUUGGAGUGACCUCCAUUGAAGAUGCUGCCAGGCAGCGGCUAAUGCAGCGUCACAACAAAGCCACGACAGCCUUGGUUUUGUCUGAGACUCUUCCACUGCUGGAUAUCCACGUGAGGAGGUGUACUGUAAGAUUCUGACUGAACACUGAACACUACGUGCUGGUAAUUUCAC